rnacentral:rRNA from 1 species
CCCUUAGAUGUCCUGGGCCGCACGCGCGCUACACUGAUACAUUCAACGAGUAUUUCCUUGGCCGAGAGGCCUGGGCAAUCUUUUAAACCUGCAUCGUGAUAGGGAUAGAUUAUUGCAAUUAUUAAUCUUGAACGAGGAAUUCCUAGUAAACGCAAAUCAUCAAUUUGCAUUGAUUACGUCCCUGCCCUUUGUACACACCGCCCGUCGCACCUACCGAUUGAAUGGUCCGGUGAAAUCUCGGGAUUGUGGCCAGUUCACUUUAUUGGGAGUUGGCUGCGAGAACUUGCUUAAACCUUAUCAUUUAGAGGAAGGUGAAGUCGUAACA